rnacentral:rRNA from 1 species
CCUACGGGAGGCAGCAGUAGGGAAUCUUCGGCAAUGGACGGAAGUCUGACCGAGCAACGCCGCGUGAGUGAAGAAGGUUUUCGGAUCGUAAAACUCUGUUGUUAGAGAAGAACAAGGAUGAGAGUAGAAUGUUCAUCCCUUGACGGUAUCUAACCAGAAAGCCACGGCUAACUACGUGCCAGCAGCCGCGGUAAUACGUAGGUGGCAAGCGUUGUCCGGAUUUAUUGGGCGUAAAGCGAGCGCAGGCGGUUUCUUAAGUCUGAUGUGAAAGCCCCCGGCUCAACCGGGGAGGGUCAUUGGAAACUGGGAAACUUGAGUGCAGAAGAGGAGAGUGGAAUUCCAUGUGUAGCGGUGAAAUGCGUAGAUAUAUGGAGGAACACCAGUGGCGAAGGCGGCUCUCUGGUCUGUAACUGACGCUGAGGCUCGAAAGCGUGGGGAGCAAACAGGAUUAGAUACCCCUGUAGUC